rnacentral:rRNA from 1 species
CCGACCGGGUGAGUAACACGUAUGCAAUCCACCCUGUAACAGGGGGAGUAACCCGGAGAAAUCCGGACUAAUACCCCAUAAUAUGGGCGCUCCGCAUGGAGAGUUCAUUAAAGAGAGCAAUUUUGGUUACAGACGAGCAUGCGCUCCAUUAGCCAGUUGGCGGGGUAACGGCCCACCAAGGCGACGAUGGAUAGGGGUUCUGAGAGGAAGGUCCCCCCACAUUGGAACUGAGACACGGUCCAA